GUUCGAACUUCAAUUUCAAAUGAUUUAACAAGUUUUUAUUUUUGAAUUUCUGUGUGUUCCGCCUCAUUCAUUCACAUAAAAAUAGUCAUUUUUACUUUUGCGGACAAUUACAUUUUUGGGAUAUUUCUGACACGGACAAAAUUCCCCAAGCACUUCCCAAUUGUUUGUGCAGUUCACAUCUGCAGACAUUUGCUCAUCUCCCGUCAGAACAGGAUCUGCUCACGUGUUCACAUUUUCCAUUUCUAUUGUAGCGUACUGUAUGUAUGGUGCAUAAUAUAAUGGUGUAUAUUCUUUAUCACCGUGGACACAUGAGGUAACGUUACUCAUUUUAUUACCUUUAUGGUGUUAUAGUCAAUCGUGCUUACGUAGCUACAUUCUAUUAGCUCUGUAAAACAAUGCUAAUUGCGUCAGAGAAGUAUUAUCUUGUGUUGUAUUUUGAAGCUACAUGGCCUUAUGACUCCCAAGUGGUGCAGCGGUCAGAGGCACAGCACAUCCAGUACUAGAGGCGUCACUACACACUCCCUGGUUCAAAUCCAGGCUGCGUUUCUAUCAAAAAAUCACAAACAUUAUUUGCCAAUAUCAUAACUGGCGCUGGACAUCUUUGGAGCUGAAGAAUGAGGACAGCUUUUGCAUAGUAUCAUGGCUGGUCACUUGUCAAGUCACCUGUCAGGCAGACUUUGCAAUGCCUCCGUGUGCGACUACCUUGAGAAGCAGUUUGAGGGACUUUGCAGGGAAAAUGCCGUGCAGUGAGGCGUAGGGGAUUGUCUACAGCAGGAAGACCCCCAGUGGAUGGGCGCCGAGGGGUGUGGUGCUCCUCCAGCAGCUCUCUCAUGAGGUUCUCUCUGUAUUUUUGGUAGGUAAUUACUUUACCUAUGAGGGAGUGGGGAGGAUGAGGAAAGUUAGAGGAUGAUGAGGAAGUAGGUAGGUGGGUGAGAUAUUGUCACUAUAAUUGCAUAAUGGAUGCAUGUGAACUGUACAUCCAAUUACAAAAAUACCUUGUUCAGUAAUCAUCUCACCUGUUAGUUGGCGGUGAACUAUGCUGCCGUUGAGGACAGCAAUGUCGAUCAGAUGGAAAAAAUAUCUUCGUAUACCACUUGGUGCUUUUCCGAGUGCAUGGGACUGCUGUACCAAUUGUCCACGUACAAAGUGUGUCCCUUGCCGAGAUGAGGAGCCAGCAUGGUCAUCGCCACGGACCCUGACACCCCUCAUAAUGUUUGAUGUCAGUGGUGGACUUGUGUUGGGUCAAUCUUUCCUCAGCCUAGGACAAAUGUAGCCUACAUUUUUCCAGUUAGGAUGAUUGUGUUAUGAUAUAUAUAUACACUGCAGUUCUAAACGAGUGUUCUAAUCACACAGGUGUGAUCGUAUGCUUCAGGGACCACUGUAGAACGAUCAUACCCGUGUGAUGGUAUGUGUGAAAGGGUUCAUUUCAACAACCACAGAAAAUCUUAUUGGACCUUUCGCAGAUUUUACAUAAGCACUUACUUUUCUGUCUGUGAACAGCACUGGCCAUCUAGAUUUGAUGUCAAUCACAAUCUCCUUUCUUCUUAAAGUUAAUGAGAAAGUAGUCAUCAUUGAUGCAGAAACAGUUACUCAGUCAGGACUUAUUUUCUGAAUCUCUUCUUGCAUAUAAUCCUUAUUGUUGAAAUAACUUCACAAAUGAGAAAAGUACUGCUUAACAUUACAGGGCUCAGAAAAAUUACAGAGGUCACAUUUUAUACAAGCAGUAACUGUUUCAUGAACAUUUCUUCAGUGUUGAGUCAAAUGCAUCUUGAGUGCUAUUUCUGUUUUAAAGGUGCACUGACAGUCUUGAUCCAUCAAUGUAUCUUGCAUCAUGUCCAUGAUUCAAUUUGUAAUGUCUAAUAAGGAUGCGUUGAUUUGAUGUGUCAAAUCUGCAGUACUUACAGUUCCACUUCAUCCAUUGAAGAAUAAUGCUUUUGGAUUUCC
ensembl:lncRNA